rnacentral:rRNA from 1 species
GACGAACGCUGGCGGCGUGCUUAACACAUGCAAGUCGAACGAAGUGGCGAACGGGUGAGUAAUACGUGGGUAACCUGCCCUACGUUGUGGGCUAAGCCAUGGAAACGGGGUCUAAUCACGACUGAAGUGGGAUGGGCUCGCGGCCUAUCAGUUUGUUGGUGGGUUGAUGGCCUACCCAGGCGGUGACGGGUGGCGGGCCUGCGAGGGUGACCGGCCCGAUGGGGACGUGGAUAGGGCCCAGACUCCUACGGGAGGCAGCAUUGGGGGAGUGUGCACAAGGGGCGAGAGCUUGAUCCGGCUAGGCCGCGUGGGGUAUGAAGUCUUGCGGGUUGUAAACCCCUUGCGCUGUCGAACGGGUAGGUGGAGAAGAAGCGCCGGCUAACUACGUGCCAGCAGCCGCGGUAAUUC